GACGAACGCUGGCGGCGUGCUUAACACAUGCAAGUCGAACGGAAAGGCCCUGCUUUUGUGGGGUGCUCGAGUGGCGAACGGGUGAGUAACACGUGAGUAACCUGCCCUUGACUUUGGGAUAACUUCAGGAAACUGGGGCUAAUACCGGAUAGGAGCUCCUGCUGCAUGGUGGGGGUUGGAAAGUUUCGGCGGUUGGGGAUGGACUCGCGGCUUAUCAGCUUGUUGGUGGGGUAGUGGCUUACCAAGGCUUUGACGGGUAGCCGGCCUGAGAGGGUGACCGGCCACAUUGGGACUGAGAUACGGCCCAGACUCCUACGGGAGGCAGCAGGGGGGAAUAUUGCACAAUGGGCGGAAGCCUGAUGAAGCAACGCCGCGUGCGGGAUGACGGCCUUCGGGUUGUAAACCGCUUUCGCCUGUGACGAAGCGUGAGUGACGGUAAUGGGUAAAGAAGCACCGGCUAACUACGUG
rnacentral:rRNA from 1 species